CUGGAAGGGCAGGACGGGAGCGGGAGGCUUGGAUGCCGCCAGCGUGGGGCGGAGGGCGCUCUGCCACCACGCAAGGUCCAGCCCCACUGGUCCCUUUUCUCCCUGCAGCUGCUAGGUACAGUGGUUUCCCAGGGUGGAAGGUGGUGGUGACAUGGAGGGGGUCGAGUUUUCUCCAGAUCAGGUCUGGGGUUGCCAGAUUGUCCUAAUUUCUGAGUUUAGCCCGUGUUGGCAUUCUGGGCUGGUUUUUUGUUUGGUUUAUAAGGACUUCGUGAAGUCACAGGCCUAGCAGCCGCAGCGCCGGGAAUGGGAAUCCUCCCAGGGGCUUCACUCCAGCGGCUGCCUUGGAGCAGCCAAGUGAAAAGCUUGGGACAUUGAAGCACCCGGCCAUGGAGUGUGUGUGCGGUACCCUGUGCUAGUAAUCCCCAGACUCAGAUCAGGAGGCACAGGCAAGCCUGCGCCAGUCAACAACCCCCUGCCUCAAAGUUACAAGGACUGGGGAUGUGUCUCAGUGCUAAAGGGCCUGGCCGGCAUUCAUGAGGCCUGCUCUAAAAUAAAAAGUGUGUGAUGACAAAACACUGGAAAUAGAAGGGACUUGGCUCUCUUGAUCUAGUCCUGGCGUGCCGCGUUCCUGCCUGCCAAGACUUCCCGUGAGAGGAGGAGGAGGAACUGGGGAGAUUUAUUUGAACUGGGACCACAAAGAGCUCCUUUCCCGUGUAUGUGAGGUCCUAGGAGUCACUCACAGAAAGAGAAUACAGUGUCUCUUAGGCACAUGAGAAGACAUCUAACUCUCCUAUCUCAAAUAAGACAACAAACAGGAUUCCAGUGAGGGGAUUUUUAUUAGAUUAGCAAAAAAAUAAAAGAUUCAUAGCGUUACUUUGGAGGGAUUCUAGAGGAACACUGCCGUCCUGGGCUAGGGGGAAGGUAAAUGUACAUACCCGUAGAGAUUCCAGAUGCCGUCAGCCCACCAGUUCCACAUGUGGCUCACCCUGCAGAGAUGCACUAUGCAGAGGGGCACCUGUGUAAGGUCAGUCAUAACUAAGUGCCAUUCAAAGGGAAGAGGUGGGUGCUCCUGGGCAGCCCUGGGGUGCCAGGUCAUGUAGCAGAGAGGAAAGAUGUUCAGGGGGCUCCCUGCCCCAACAUCUACAGUGGCUUCCCAGUUGCAGUACAGGAAGCUGACCCAGAGCAUCCCUCACCUUUCCAGAACACUCAGCUGUCCACCCUCCCCUCUUCCUGCUCAGACCCCGCCUCCUGCCAGCCUUCCUGCUCCCAGGUUUCCCACCGCCAUCCCUUCAUCCAGGUCUUUGCCCAAAUGCUCUCCAGCCCUUUCCACACACCUAUAGCUGACAUACACCACAGCAACCCCUGUGCACCCCUUCUGGCCAUCACUCAGGUGGCCAGUUCUCUGGGUCUCUGCACACUAAAUAGGUACCGACAGAAAGUGGCAGGUCAUAGCAAGAGUGAAGGACUGAGAGUAACAAAGACCUUGUGGUUUAGAUCUGAGGUGUCCCCCCAAAACCCAUGUGUGACAAUCAGAGGUGAGAUGAUUAGAUUACGAGAGAUUGUGUGACUCUGCUGAUCAGGGUGAACUGGAUGAUAACCAUAGGCAGGUAGAGUGUGGCUGGAGGAAGGCUGUCACUGGGGUGUGCCUUGGGGGUUGCUGUUUUGUCCCUGUUGAGCAGAGCCCUCUACUUCCUGGUUUUCGGGUCCUGAGCUGCCGUUUUCUGCCAUGACGACCCGCCUCACCUCAGGCCCAGAGCUGCAGAGUCAGGUGGUCAUAGACAGAACUUCCGAAAUCAUGAGCCAAAAUAAACCUGUCCUCUGUGUUGUUUUUGUCACAGCAAUGAAAAAGCUAACUAAAACAGAAAUUGGUACUGAGGAGUGGGACGUUGCUGUGACUGAUGCGACCAUGGGGCUCAGAAGCUUUUGGAGCUGGUUUGUGUGGCAUGGGGGGGAGGGGUGUUUGAAAAGUUUAGAGAAGCUGCAGAAUGUUGUAAGCAGAGCUUGAUGGGUGACUGCAGCGAGUUCAGAAGACCUGAACGCCAGUGGCACUGAGGUUUCAGAGGAGAGGAUGCGGUUGAAGUUGGACUGGAGGCCAUUCAUAUCACGUUCUGGCAAAGAAGGGUGUAAAAGAAGACAUUUUUUUGAGAAGAGACCAAAGGGGCAUCCAGCUUGGGGGAGGGGGUGCUAGUAAGUUUUGGGGUUUGUUUUUACCAUGCUUGGCCACCCAGGCAUGCAGAGGCUGCUGCAUCCGCGGUCCCAGCAGGCUCAGCUCCUAGUAGCUCAAGAUGGCUGCAGACCUUGGCAUCCAUCACGUCGUGCUGGUGCUGCAGGAAUGAAGGAUGCUGGAGUUUGGGGUCGUGAAGGCUUCCACCAAGGUUGCAAAGGAAGGCCUGGAGGCCUGGCAGAGUGCAGCAGGGUCAGAGUCCCUGUGGGACGCCCCUGAGAGGCCAAUACAUGAAGAGGUGAGAAGGAAGCCAGAAGCCUCAGUGGAGACCCCAAAGGUGCCAGUAACAUAGGACAGCACCGAGGAAAGCUGCAGGUACGGGCAGAGACAAGCAGCAGAGAGGCUGUGUGGGCCGCAGCCCACGGCCCCGGAGAGACCGUCACCCUGCCAAGUGCCCAGGUGCUGGACAUGGAGCUACAGGACUUGCUCGCCCCCCAGGAUUUCAGUCUUGCUUUGGUCUCAUCCUUAUUUUUCCCUUGUGGAAUGGGAAUGUUUACUCUGGGCCAUUACAUUGGGUAUAUGUGACUUGCUUUUGACCUUUACAGGGGACAACAUCCAUGAAUUUAUCUUAAGUCUGGGAUGAGAUAUUGGACUUGGACUUUGGGGCAGUGGUAGAACUGUUGAGACCAUGGGGACUCCUGGAAAUGGACCAAGUGUAUUUUGCAUUGUGAGAUGGGUAUGAGCUUUUGGGGGCCAAGGAUAGCAAGUUAUGGUUUAAAUAUGAAGUGCCUCCCAGAAGCUCAUGUGUGAGACAAUGCAAGCAUUUCAGGGGUUAGACGAGUAGAUUAUCAGAGGUGUAACCUUGUCAGUGGAUUGAUCUACUGAUGGAUUGUAGGCAGGUAGAAUGUGGCUGGAGGAGGUGGGUCCCUGGGUUGUGACUUUGGGGUUUAUAGUUUGUCACUCAUGCUCUGCCUACCUGUUACCUGCUUACCUGCUCUAGUUACCUAUCCUGAGCUGCCCUUCUCCACCACACCCUCAGCCAGGAAGUUCUGCCUCACUUCAGGCCUGGAGCUGUGGGGUUGCCCGAGGAUGUACUAACCCUCUGAAACUGAGCCCACAUGAACUUUUCCUUCUCCACACUGUUCUUGUCAGGUCUUUCGGUCACGGUAACAAAAAGGCUGUCUAUGACACACCUCAGUCCCCGGCCAUUUCUCACGUCAAAGCCCACAAUACGGCUGGUGUUCAAUUUACACUCCCAACAGUCACUGUGUUGCCAAGAAAAUUCUGUGGGUUCAGGAUAUUUCUUCACUAAAGGCUGGAAAUAAUACCUUCUAAGGCAAAUAAAUGUAUAUCCUUAAUUCCAAA